rnacentral:rRNA from 1 species
GACGAACGCUGGCGGCGUGCCUAAUACAUGCAAGUCGAACGCUGAAACUUGGUGCUUGCACCGAGCGGGUGAGUUGCGAACGGGUGAGUACCGCGUAGGUAACCUGCCUGGUAGCGGGGGAUAACUAUUGGAAACGAUAGCUAAUACCGCAUAAGAGUAGAUGUUGCAUGACAUUUGCUAACACGGUGCAUUUGCACCACUACCAGCUGGACCUGCGUUGUAUUAGCUAGGUGGUGGGCUAACGGCCCAUCAAGGCGAAGAUACAUAGCCGGCCUGAGAGGGUGAUCGGCCAAACUGGGAAUGGGAAAAGGGCCAGACUGCUACGGGGAGGAGCAGGAGGGAAAUUUCGGCAAUGGACGGAAGUCUGGACGAGGAAAGCCGCGUGAGUGAAGAAGGUUUUCGGAUCGUAAAGCUCUGUUGUGAGGGAAGAACGGGUGUGAGAGUGAAAAGUUCACACUGUGACGUUACCUAAACAGAAAGGGACGGCUAACUACGUG